rnacentral:rRNA from 1 species
CCUACGGGAGGCAGCAGUGGGGAAUAUUGGGCAAUGGGCGCAAGCCUGACCCAGCAACGCCGCGUGAAGGAAGAAGGCUUUCGGGUUGUAAACUUCUUUUCUGAGGGACGAAGAAAGUGACGGUACCUCAGGAAUAAGCCACGGCUAACUACGUGCCAGCAGCAGCGGCAAUACGUAGGUGUCAAGCGUUAUCCGGAUUUAUUGGGUGUAAAGGGCGUGUAGGCGGGAAAGCAAGUCAGAGGUGAAAACUCAGGGCUCAACCCUGAGCCUGCAUUUGAAACAGUUUUUCUUGUGUGCUGGAGAGGCAAUCGGAAUGCCGGGUGUAGCGGUGAAAUGCGUAGAGAUACGGAGGAACACCAGUGGCGAAGGCGGAUUGCUGGACAGUAACUGACGCUGAGGCGCGAAAGCGUGGGGAGCAAACAGGAUUAGAUACCCCAGUAGUC